rnacentral:rRNA from 1 species
GAUGAACGCUAGCGGCAGGCUUAACACAUGCAAGUCGAGGGGCAGCACGGACUUCGGUCUGGUGGCGACCGGCAAACGGGUGCGGAACACGUACACAAUCUACCUUUAUCUGGGGUAUAGCCCGAAGAAAUUCGGAUUAAUCCCCCAUAAUAUAUUAGAGUGGCAUCACUUCGAUAUUAAAACUCCGGUGGAUAAAGAUGAGUGUGCGUCCCAUUAGCUAGUUGGUAGGGUAACGGCCUACCAAGGCAACGAUGGGUAGCUGGUGUGAGAGCACGACCAGCCACACGGGCACUGAGACACGGGCCCGACUCCUACGGGAGGCAGCAGUGAGGAAUAUUGGUCAAUGGACGCAAGUCUGAACCAGCCAUGCCGCGUGAAGGAUGAAGGCCUUCUGGGUUGUAAACUUCUUUUAUUGGGGAAGAAAAUUACGGUUUCUACUGUAACCGACGGUACCCAAGGAAUAAGCACCGGCUAACUCCGUGCCAGCAGCCGCAGUAA